UGAACAGCAGUAAGGAAGUGU
rnacentral:misc_RNA from 1 species